UACGUAGGUGGCAAGCGUUGUUCGGAAUUAUUGGGCGUAAAGGGCGCGUAGGCGGUUUGUUAAGUCGGUUGUGAAAGCCCGGGGCUCAACCCCGGAGGGUCGACCGAUACUGGCAGGCUAGAGUACAGAAGAGGUAGCUGGAAUUCCCGGUGUAGCGGUGAAAUGCGUAGAGAUGUGGAGGAACACCGAUGGCGAAGGCAGCCCCCUGGGCUAACACUGACGCUCAUGCACGAAAGCGUGGGGAGCAAACAGG
rnacentral:rRNA from 1 species